rnacentral:lncRNA from 1 species
CUUGGCUGGAGAUUCUGCAGGAGUCCAGGAUCACUUCUUCCGUUCUCAUGCACUUACUGCUAAAGAAAUGUGCUUAUCUCCUAUUUCUGUCCAAAAAAGAUGAUCAUCAAGAAAAGUGGAUAAGUUAUGAACUUUUUAAGCUUCAUCCUGCAAAUAAGGUGACUCAAGGCUGAGCUCCCGUUGUUGCUCUUAACUUGAUCUAAGCCUCCUUUCCUAGCUUCUCCAAGAGCAUUUUGGAACCACUUUGCCCUGAAACCCUGAGAUCAGAGGAGAACACUGGGGGAUUAGGUUUAAACUUGUUAAACUGAAUUAACACUCCUACCACAUGAUUCUGGCCUGUGCCAGUCCUUCUAAUCUUGUUCAGAGUUUAGGAUAAUUUGUUUAGUAGUGCUGAUCAGCUGGAGGUUAAUUCAAUUGGAGUUUGGUUAUUUAUUCAUGCCCGGAUUUGCUAAGUGUCACAGCAGAUACAUGAGGUCUCUGUUGCAGUUAUGAGACGGCUUCAUUAGUGUGACGGAGAGUCCAUCUGGAUGACUUCCUUUCCUCACUGCAAUAACUGGCUGUCAGGGCUCUCUCCAGUGGAAGAAAUCCUUAUAUAAUGUCUCCCUUUCAUUUGUGUCAUAAGUGUAUUGAUUGCAACUUAAAAUAUACUUCUCUGUUCUGAUUGCUGGUUUUGCCAAUAAUCUUACUCAGGGAUCUCAGUAAUAUUCCUGCUCUAUAUUUUAAAUUGAUAU